rnacentral:rRNA from 1 species
UUGUGGAGGGGCCCAUUUGAGAGCUACUGAAAAAGGAACGAAGCAGGUCUUCUCUCGGCGUCGGCGGAGCUCGUUACCUCAGACUGAGGAGAAAAAGAGAGACAUGCGUUGGAGAGGAAAGGAGAAGAGGAUCCCAACGCGGCGGCGGCGUCGGGUACGGUCGAUGAGGCUGCGGUAGGUGGCCUCUUUCGCAGGAGGGGUCCAGGCGAAGAGGGGGUUUGGUAGAGUAGAAGAAUAAGGUGGGCCGGCGGUACUAACAACGUCUCCUCCUCCUUCCCCUACCGUUUUAGAGCCCUCUCUUUUUUUGGCCGUUCGUUCGCUCUUCCUACAGUACCAUCUACAUACAACUGCUCGGCGACGAGACGCUGUAGCUGCCGGUCGCGGAGUGGCGGCGGGGUAGGAGCCGGUGCUGCCGUGACGGACCCGUGUCAGGCUCGGGAAGGAGCUCCAGUUUGGACUUCUUGAAUGACGUCAUUAUUUACUGAAGCUACUUGGUGUGUGAAACCGUGGUUGACCUAAUAAGGAACCACCAUGUUUCAGCGGUACUUCCGUCGGUUGUGUCCGCUGGAGGGAGAGAGAGCGAAGGAGAGGGUACAUUGGGCGGUGGUGAUCGCUGUAGUGCGAGUUCCGGCAGAAGCUCCUGUAGCCGUUCAAGAUGGAGUAGUACCUCGAGACGUUGCCGCCGGCGAACGACCUGCUCUACCGGUCCAUACAAUGGAAGAGACUCAACGUACGGUGUAAACACUAGUUCCUAGAGUGCAGUCACCACUUCAUGACGGUGCUUUACCCGCAGUAGGUGUCCCUGUUAUUCGGCCUUAUAUAAAACGAGUGGCCUUUGUCCCUUCUACUUUGAUCGUCUAAAACCUAUCCGUCGUACUCAGUGAUUGCCAUAAAAAAACGAUUAUAGAAUUCGAAAGAAGUGUGUAGUACAUCUUAAAAUAUACCUCGGUAGAACCAUGUCAAUAGAAGAAGCAUUAUCAUUUCCGGUUUCUGUUUAAAGGUACAGAACCACGUAAAAUUAAAGUCCAUGGUGAUGUUACAACGUUUACUAUCUAAUAUAAGAAUAUUCGAAUAAAAGGAGUUUUCAAACUAGAAAUUAUUACCUACGAAGGAAGUGAAACUGAAAGUUUCAUAUUAUUUGUUCUUGUGGUUUUCCGGUGCUUACACAUUGCUAGAAACUAACAAGGACAAAGAGAACAACGAAACGUAGGCUAAAUAAAAAAUCCUCUUAUUAAGUUUGUUGGGAACGGUUACUUCGUCGUACCCGACCUCUUUAUCGCGAUUUUGAAGUAAUUCAGCUUCAUCCGUCAUAGGAAAGACUUACCGGAAGAAAGAAGGAGUAUACAGUUGACGUUUGUUUGUACGAAGACGACUACGAAUCUUCUUCGGUUCCUCAUACACAGGUCUUGGAGAAAAUAUAAUGGUUCGUUAUGUAUAAAAGACUUACGUGUACUAUCUUGACUUUCCUAAAAACAAUAGAACGUACUACGGGACAACCAGACUAUGACUUUUUAAGACUACAUAUCCAAAAAGAGUUACUGCCAAGACUGAAUCUAUUAAAUAAUCUUCUUUCUCGUCUUUUUUAACUCUCCUACGACUUUACUGAGUUUAUCUUGAUGAUCUAGAGGUACGAUCGUUCGAUUCAUACAAGCUCCUUUAUUAUGCUACGUCAUUUAAAAGAACACUAGCACCCCUAACAAAUGUCUUAAUCGUUAAAACUAAGCGAAGUAACGUUUUUACUAUGGUAAAUCUAAAAUCUUCAUCUUUAUUUAGCUGACAUUCAGGUUGUAAACUGGUAUCUUCCAAAGUAUUAGAAGUCAUUAAUCAUACCAUAAUAUUGUAGAUCUUAACUACCAAAAUGUAUCAACCAGCCCUAAUGACAACGAUACCCAGAGUACAAAGUUAGUCUUAUGUGAAGUAAAUCGUUCGUGUUUCGCCGACACUCGUGCGGUGGCCGCAACCCAGCUACCACAGUACGUCGCUCCAUUCGUUGCUGUGGAGGAGAAGGUAGUAAAAAAAGUGGUAGAGGUUAACUCCUCGAAAUAAUCUAAACGAACCCAAACAUACUUUCCAACUGAUUUUAAAACUUCCUGCAGGGUAUAUGAUAUCACGAAUAUACAAACAGAAUUUAAGAAUACCGAACUAGAGACGGGUAUCCUUAAACUGAUGAACGAAACAACAGAGAAUUUUACCUAUUACCUAUUAUGUUUAAACCACUGAUUCGAACCGCUGAUUUGAACCGUUGUUCGAGGGGCAGAUAUAAGAGCACAUGAAGAACGACGUACAUAGGGGGCAGAGAUAAGAAUCCUCUGUACGACUUCUCAUAGAAGGAGAGCAACGAAGCGUCCCGUACAGUUCUUGACCGUCGGUUCCUAGAGGUACCUUGACUCACCGUAAAGAACCACUAUAAUGUUAAACUCGUAAGCCAAACUUCGGGGUAAUUUAAAAAUCAGCAACACAAGAAUAACAAAACCACAUCGUGAAGUACAGUGUCAACUUACUACUUAAGUAAUGAAGUACUCAUACACACCGGAGAGAGGGAGACAGACUAAGAUAUAGUACGGAAGGUUACAAAACACAAAGUCUACGGGAUUAGAGGAACAUAAACUUACAGUAAAUAAUCGAGAAAACUUUAAAUAUCACGUUGAAGAAUGAAUUUACGGUACAGGUACACAAUGGUUUCUAUCUUUCUUCUUUAACCUUACCCGCUGACGGUUGGACCGUGGCGGAUCGAAGGAGAGUCCUCCGCGGUGUUCCACCGCGGGGUUGGGGAUCAUAUGACUUUUCACCGGCUUGAACACCUUCCCUCUGUGUCCGGACCUUCGCAACCGUAGAGUUUGAUUUUGCGUAUGUUGGUUGGAUAAUACAAAAACCUUUUCCUACUUAUCUACUGAUUAGUCGUCGGAAAUCGAAGGAUCCGAUUUACCGAUGAGAUUCAAACGUUAUAGUAAUCGAGGAAACGACUAAUAUGAGGCUUGGACCUUACCACGUUAAAUUUCAUACAAUCAUCGGGGUUAAAUAUUCGUCCGGAUGAGUUGACGUGUACUCUGAUUUUUCAUACUCAUUAUCAGAUGAUAAUCCAAAUCAGAAGCGACUAGUUCCCGCUGAGUUCACAAAGAAAAUAGGAAAAACGAACGUCUCUUUCCGCGGUUGUUUUCACACCUAAACUUUGGGACAAAAGUUCAAACUUUAAAGACUUGGCAUGGCUGAUAUUUGAUCUUAAACGUCCCCCGUUUACAUCUUUACUACAUUGAUCGUAGUGUCCUUGGUCUUUUUGUGGGGUCUCUCGAGGGACGUCCCUUUUCUCUACUACCCUUAAUCUUUGUGUUACUAGUAGUAGUGUCCCUCGAGACUAGAGCAAAAGACCUGGACUUGGGACGUCCUAUCGAACCGUGACUAGAGCAAAGAAGGAAUUCAACGUUUUGAUCAAUUUGCGAACAAAGUCGCUACCGGACAUUAUUCAAAGACAGGCGAUGAAACGGACGAAAAAAUGUUUUUUCAACCCCGACCCCUUGGGGAAACUAAGUUCUUUUUCUUUUGUGUUACUGGUCAAUCUUUUUUUUCCCGUUAGAACAGACGGUGGGGUGUAGACAUUUUGUGUUACUGACAGAUAAAAUGUAUGCCUACUUUUGCUUAAGCGAAAGUCAGUCUAAAAAAGUGUUUAAUGUCCUAUGUUCACAGGGGACAGGAGACAAUCAAAGAUGAACAGGGACGAAAAUUUGUGUGGUCGUAGUGCUCGAAUUUGUCCGGGUGUGUGGUUGAGAAUUUAUGUGGUUGUAGUACUAGAAUUGCCAGGUGCGUGGUUGAAAAGGUCGGGCCUGUCUUUUAGUUGUUUUUGCUCGUGUUUUUUGGGUUUUAAUGUCGGUUUGAAACGGUACAUGUACACGUGAUCCGAUCUCGUUUGCUUUUCUUUUCCUUUCCUGGUCCUACUACAGUGGAUUAGUAUGUGUGGAUUUUACUGUACCGUUUUAUGUGAGACCUCGUGAUUUUUAAUGUAACUUUUCGAUAUUUCAAUGUGAUUAUUGAGGUGAUAAUAAAAGUGACACUAUAGGUGAUGUUUUCACGUGACGUCUCCUUUGCCCUUAUUCGUGGUUGGUUCUCCCACUAAGGAGGUACUAGAUCCUGUCUUUGGACUUCUACUAGGUGUGACGUCUUCUACUCCUUUGUGUC